ACUGCACAGACAUUCGACGACGAUCUCACCUGACCCAGGUGGUGUGUUUUAUUGAGCUGGCCACGUGACUAACUGUACCUGAGAUGCAUGAGUAUAAAACCAGCGACAGCCGUGAUAUUUUACAUUACAGCCACGACCUGACUGGUGGAGGGUGAGCACACAGCUGGUAGGGCGAGCACACAGCGGACUGUAUAAAGUGCAAAACCCUUCGCAAUGGCUGGCAAAGGAAAUCCUUACAGCUUUCUGGACAAGGAAAUUCGAAUGGUACUUUGCUGGAAAGAGUGGAGCUGGUAAAGCGGAAACAGGGGAAUACAAUAAUUGAACUGGAAAGUUGGCAAAGAUAUUCAAAGCAUUCUGCAAGGGCAAUGUCUGUUACAAAGACAUGCAAACAGCAUUCCUUUAAACGCUUUGGGUACGACUUGCAACUUGUUGACGUCCCAGGAUUUUGUGACACAAGCAGAUCACAUGAAGACAUCAGGGCAAGAGGUCAUGAAAUGUGUG